rnacentral:lncRNA from 1 species
GGGAUGGGAUACGGGGGGAUCUAGAACCUCAUAGGAAUGGACAACCCAUUGGGGACAUCAUUCGGGGUCAGUGGGUUGGGAUAUGGGGUGAUCUAGAAACCUAUCGUGUGGAAGAACCCGUUGGAGAUGUGUUUGUGGGUCUAUGGGGGGGAUUACGGGGGGAAUCUGAGAAACCUGGAUGGGGAGAGAACACGUUGUUUGGGGUCUAUGGGGUGGGAUACGGGGGGCAUCUAGAACCUCAUGAAGAUGGAAAACCUAUCGGAGUCAUAGUUUGGGGUCUAUGGGGUGGGAUAUAGGAUCAUCUAGAACCUAUCGUGGUGGAGAACCCGUUGGAGAUGUUGUUUGGGGUCUAUGGGGUGGGAUAUGGGGUGAUCUAGAACCUGGGUGGGGGGAGAACACGUUGGAGAUGUUGUUUGGGGUCUAUGGGAUGGGAUACGGGGGGAUCUAGAACCUAUCGUGGUGGAGAACCCGUUGGAGAUGUUGUUUGGGGUCUAUGGGGUGGGAUACGGGGGGAUCUAGAACCUGGAUGGGGGGAGAACACGUUGUUUGGGGUCUGUGGGGUGGGAUACGGGGGGAUCUAGAACCUGGAGGGAGGAAGAACCCAUUGGGGGUGUUGUUUGGGGUCUAUGGGCUGGGAUAUGGGGUGAUCUAGAACAUGGAUGGGAAGAGAACCCGUUGGAGAUGUUGUUUGGGGUCUAUGGGGUGGGAUACGGGGUGAUCUAGAACCUGGAUGGGGGGAGAACGCGGGGUUUGGGGUCUGUGGGGUGGGAUAUGGGGUGAUCUAGAACAUUUGUGGUCAAUGGGGUGGGAUACGGGGUGAUCUAGAACCUGGAGGGAGGAAGAACCCGUUGGAGAUGUUGUUUGGGGUCUAUGGGGUGGGAUAUUGGGGUGAUCUGACCCACAGAGACCCCAUAGGGCCCCAUAGUGACCCAUAGAGCCCCAUAGCGCCCCCAUAGAGCCCCAUAGCGACCAACAGAGACCCCAUAGGGCCCCAUAGCGACCAACAGAGACCCCAUAGGGCCCCAUAGCGACCCACAGAGACCCCAUAGAGCCCCAUAGCGACCCACAGAGACCCCAUAGGGCCCCACAGAGCCCCAUAGACACCCCAUAGAGCCCCAUAGCGACCCACAGAGACCCCAUAGAGCCCCAUAGCGCCCCCAUAGGGCCCCAUAGUGACCCAUAGAGACCCCAUAGGGCCCCACAGAGCCCCAUAGACACCCCAUAGAGCCCCAUAGCGACCAACAGAGACCCCAUAGAGCCCCAUAGCGCCCCACUGACCUGCCUCGAGGACGUCCCGUGCCCCGUCGGGUUCUAGAGCCAGGUUGGCCAGCGCUCGAGCCGCCCGGUUCCAGAUGCUUUCGGGUCCCGGGGAGCUCAAUAGUGUCACGGUGUGUGGAGGCAGCAAUGGGGCCACACAUGGAGGAUCACAGCCUGCCCGCGCCAAUAGA